CCUCACUUGGGAAGGUCCUAGUAGAAGGCAUUCCUUCUGAGUCUCCUGGCCCUACAGCUUCUCACCCCUGCUGCUCCCCAAGACCUGACCCGGACCAAUCAGCUGCAUCUCUGCACCAAGUGCCACCCCCACCGUGCACUGCUCGCACCUCACGCUCCCCAUGGGCUGGCCCGGACCCCAGUGAGGUCUGCACCUCUCGGACCAGCCAGGACCUCGGAAGCCAUGAGCUGGGUGUUCAGGGCUUGGCGGAGGAGACGCUGCUCCGCGGGGGAUGGAGAAGCCCCGCCCCUCCACAACUCCCUUAAUCUGGAUGCAAUUAGAGGAAACCAGCCAAAAACCCCGCGGCAGCUGUUGCCCCGGGAUUAUUCCCAGCCAGCGAGAGGCAUUAGGGCGAUAAUUCAGUCAUUAGACUUCUAGCCUUCCCACCGCCAGAACGUGCAAAUAGGGGAUAAUCAGCCCUGCACGGCCAUCCUCAGCAAUGCUGCUUAUUUAACCCAUUUUUUAAAAUGACACUUAAUGUUAUUGGCUGGCGUACGUGUGUGCGCAUACUUAAAAGUUGAUGCGUGGUGCAGCUCUGCUGCUAAUGUCUGCUGACAGCGUCGCCCGAUGUUGCUCAGGGCCUCUGGGAAGAGGGGACACCUUUGAUGUGGGCGUGCUGGCACCCAAGAGGCAACGUGGUCAGGCUCGAUGCUUGCCAGCCCUGGAAGGUCCCGCCAGGGUUGGGGGGUCGGGUGAGCACUCAGAGAUCUGGGGAGGAAGCGAGGAGCCUGGUGUCCUCACCAGGUGCAGAGGGGAAAUGCGUACUGCUCCAGAAGGUUCUGACUCAAGUCUCGGCCCUGAGGACUCAGAACUCACAAGUCAUGGAUCAAGUACAGAGGGAGGGAGGGCCCCAGCCCACCCCUGCGGGGGAGGAGGAGGGUCUGAAGGUGGGAGGGCAGCUCCAUGAGCAGCCACUGUUCCUGACCAGCCGAAGUGCCAGGCAGGGGGAGGUUUCCAUGUCCAGGAGGGAGAGGACCUCCACCCUCUGACCUUUCAGUUUUCCAUAGCAGCCCAGUGUGAAGCUCGGCGGGGGUGGGCAGGGCAUCAGGACAAGAUGAAGAUGCUGGCUCUGGAAUGAGGACUCCCCUUGGGCUAAGGGGUAGUGGCUGGCAGAGGUUGCCCAGCUCUUUUGGAGGCCACAGGGAAUAGAGGUGGGGUGGUGCUUCCGUUCCUGUGAGGCCCGCCCCCCUGAGCCCCCUCGUCUGCUUCUUGUUUGGCAGAAAUAGAUGUGGGGCACAGCCCCUAGAUGAUGGGAAUCUGCCCAAGCUGUGCCCUCUGGGGAAUGAAAUCUUGCUCCUCGUGCAGCUUCCCCUUUCCCUUGCGGGGUGGGGGCUGGGGGUGCCAAGGCUCCACCCUUGGAGGGGGUUGCUGGGGGUGCCAAGGCUCCACCCUUUGCUCGCUGGGCAGAGGGAAGGAAGCACCUCCCUGUAUGCUCUGCAGGGGCCCCUGCAGGCCACUUUGCCUCAGAGGAAGGAGGAGAGGUCCCCUGGGAAAAUGCGCACACACACACACACACACACACACACACACGCACAUGCACACACGCACGCAUGCACACACACACACACAUAUGUGCAGGGGUGCAGCCUAAGUCAGUGGAGCCAGGACUGGCUGCGCAGCUGGGCCUGCCCCAUUCUUGGAGUCCCCAGGGAAUGAGCCUCAGGAUCCACUUCGUCCCUUGUUUCUAAGCCAGGCUGCACGGCCGUUCCUGGGUGUGAAAGCAUUCUGUCCUGUCUCCAGUCAGAGGGAACCGCCCCCAAACUAGAAAGCUAAUUUCCCCCGAAGGUUCAUGAAGCCAGAGGCAUGCCCUUGGGGGUUGGUCGGGAGAAGGGUGAGAGGCAGUGCUGUGGAAGGGGCCUGGCCCCUGCUGCCUGCGAUUCUCCCCGGGUAUGUGGCCUUCUGCCUCCUUCAGCCUCAGUUUCCUCACCUGUAACAUGAGAAUAAUGAUGCCUGCCUGCCCAGGCCACCUCCUGGGAGUGCAUUGGGGACUCUAAGUGUAAAACUGUCAUGAGGAUGGUUUAUGAAGUCCCAGGGACCACACCUGCCACUCAGGGAAGAGACCGCUGACCUCAGCCAUCAGCCGUGUGCAUCGUGAGGGGCAGCGAGCUCAGGACGGAGAGCUCUCCCUUGGUUCGGAGUCAGCACACCUGCACUCCCACACGCCCACCCAGCUGUGUGUCCUCCGCCGAGGGCGAGCCUCUCUGUGACUCUUCUGUAAAAUGCACCCCAUUCUGCCCACUCCUGCCACGAGACCCAUCCUCUGCGAUCCCGCCAGGCAUGUGUGUGUGAAUGCAUGUGCAAAGCUCUCCAUCAGAAGGGUGGUGUGGGCCCUGCAGGUCCUACCCCUCGGCCUUGAAGCUCCCUCGGGCUGCGGACUCUGCCUCCUGGGUCUGAGCAUUAGAACCAGGAGAGGGGUGUCCCUGGGCAGAGCCAGGGGUGCAAACAGCCUGCAGCCAUCUGGCCUUUUAAGUAUAGUGUGUCGCAUUUCCGGGUAGGAAGGUAGCAUUUCAAGUUCAAAGAGAGGUCAAGUCAUGCAACCAUCUUUCCUCCAGCACUUUUGGGGUAAGGAGGACAGUUUUUGUUAUGGUUUAGGGGAAAUUUUCAUGAAAUUUCCACCAUUACCAAUAGAUUACUGAUGUCCAUGGCAAGUGAUCUGUUCUUGGUAUUUUGUUUUGUUUUGUUUUGGUUUUUAAAUGUAAUCACCCAUUGGUCAGGCCCAGGACUGGUCACCAUGAGCUCUGCUAGCCACGGCCCCAACGAUGCUUCCGGCUCUCAUGGAUUCCACAGCAAAUAAAACUGUACUGACAACAGAUGCACGCUGUACAGUGCCUCUGGAAGGUGCGGUGGGACUUGCUGGGUCAAAGCACGGCAGGCUCUGUGCUGGGCAAACAGGGCCCCGUGGCAGCCCAAGGGCAGCCUGCAGACGCCAGUGUGCCCGGCUUCUCCCAUGUUCUGAGAUGGGGGAGGGGAAGGUGUAAAAGAGAGCUGGAUGGGGGCUGUGGGGACUGAGGGUCCUGGGAGGCUGGCCAGGGGCUCAGCAAGCGCCCACUUUGGGAGGCCUUGCCCUCUGGGCUGUGGUUGGACAGCACUAGGCCUGCAGGCUGGGCUGCCAGGAGGAAGAGCAGCUCCGGACCUCAGGCCCCCCCAGCAGGCGGCGAUGGAGGGUGAUGGGAGAAUUGACGAGUGCUCGCGGGGUCUCACUCGGGAAAGGGCCGGUUAACUCUGAGCAACUGGGAGCCUCGCUCCCACCCCAGUGCCUGGAAACACAAACAGUAUUUUAUUGAGCCUUGGCUGCCGGGGCUCUGGUUUCAGGAAAAGCCUCAGUCCUGCAUUUGUGAAUUUUUAAGGAGGCAAACAAGGUGAAUUUGACCUUCCUAGGAGUGGGAGUUAGGGAAAAUUCAGGCUGCCCUACCAAGCCCUUGGAACCGUGCAGCAGGGGUCAGGGGAGGGAUGGGCAAAGGCGGUUUGGCCCAUGGAGCAGGUCUCCUGGUCCUCCCGGAGCACGGGGGGCGGGGAGCUCCAGCUCUUCAUCAAGCGCCCUUUGGGGUUUCCAACUGUUUUCUGUUGUUCUCUGUGUGUCUUUUCCCCUUUUGCCUGGGGGCGGGGGCUGGAGGGGAACAUACCUCUUAUCUACAUCACUCGGGUCUCAUGUCUGAAGGGCCUGUCUCACCUGCCACCUACCUGGCCUUGGCCUCGACAUCUGAGCGCCUCAUCACCUCCUCUCCACAUGCCCAGGGGUGCCCCUCCCAAGGCUGGCUGGGCAGGUCCCACGGACUAGGCCCCAGGAGGAGCAGUGGGCUUCCCCCAGGAAAGAGCAGAGCCAGCACUGCCUGCCUAGGGAGGGCACCCACUACCAGGCAUGGCUGGUGGCUCCGUUUAAAGAAAUCUUUGUCCAUGUGGGAGUGGGAGGUGCUUCCCCAUCCUGCCUGGAAGCCACGUCCUGGCUCUUACCGUGGACUCUGCAACAGCCGUGGUGGCCACAUGAAGAUGGAGGAACCUGGUGGCUCAGGGGCCCCUGAUGUCACCGCCUCCAAGGCAACGGGACUGGGCAGGGCAGCUCCUCAGGAAGGAUGAUCCCACCUGCACGGGUCAGCCCUGCAGGGGGACAAGGCCCACCACAACCCCACCUCAGGCCACCAACUGGACCUGUCCUGCCAAGAAGGUCCCUUCCAAUUUGUCCGGCAGCUGGUUCCCUGGAUACAGCCCAGACGCAGCAUCAUCCUCAUGUUCACCUCUGCUGUGCCCUACUUCCCCCGUAAAUGACAACUGUGUAGUCACCCACGCCGGGCAAGAGAACAUAGGUGCCACCUGGCGGGCCACACUUUUCAGGGGCCGUGCCUCGGGCAGGCCCGGCUCUCUGUUGUCCCGCAGCCCUCAGGGCUGGCGGUGGCUGCUCAGUGCCUAGGGAGUGCCCUUGCCACACAGCUGGGCAGCGAGCAUGACUCAGCGUUUACACUCAACCAGCCGCACAGGCUCCAGAGGGGAAGUUCUCUGGGGUCCUUCUAUGAGAGAGCAUCCUGUCUGCAGCCCUGUUCUGGCUCCUUCCACAUCAUUCAUGCAUUCAUCCCACGAGGACUAUGGUACCGUGGGCUCGCUCUAGGGAAGCAAGGCAGGAGCGCACUGGGGCUACUUGGAUUCCCGGGGCAGACACAUAUGUACCCUGCACACCCUCAAAUGAGCAAAGCCACCCCACUGGCCCCUGGGUGAGGCCAUGUGGACCCCCACACCUUUGGGGCCGGCUGGGCAAACCUUGAACCCCCAAUUUCUGCGUGGCCUUUGGCUGCCCUCCUUCUCCAAGGCGUGACUCUUACUCCAGAGACUCAGGCGAGCACGUGUCCCUUACCUUAUUUUCUCUCAAUCAAACUGAAACCCAUUGUGAUCCCCCAUAGUCCAGUGCGGUCUCUGUUAUUAUUACGGGUGUCUCCCUUCCUCCCCGUGCCCAGGACAGGCCAUGAGCCAGAGAUACAAGGGGCCCCAGGCAAGAUGCAGGGCUCUCUGCUCCUGGCUCUUUAUCGUCGUCGGGACACCCUUUGUCCAAACUCAAGGAAUCCCGGGAGGUCUGGCUUUGCCGCUUUGGCUGGGACUCAGGUACCUGGGCAUACCUGCAUCUGUGCCCCCUCUUCGUCCCAGUGAGACGGACCCUCAGUAUCCCCCCCAACAUAGAACAGGAAGGUCUCAAGCCAGCCCCCUCCUCCAGUUCAAUCACCCUCCCUCACAUCCACCCAGAGAAGUCCAGACCUGUGGCCACUUCCAUGCCCUCUCCAGACCAGGAGACACCUGCUGCUGACCUCGUGGAAAACUUAGAUUUUGACAUUCUGAUGCUUCGGAAGUGGUGGCUCCUCCUCCUUCACCCCUCCGCCACCUGUGGGCCUCCUCUCUGCAUCUCAAGAGAACAACCAGAUCUUUGGGCUCCUGGGGUGUGUGCCAUGCAAUUUAGACGAAGUGCUUUGAAAAUAUGCCAUUCAGUCUCUGACUAGGAAAAUAAGUCUGACCUGAUAGGUCCGAUGUCAUCAGCUCUUCAACAUGAGACAAAAGAGGGGAUUUUAUGUUUUGAGUCAUUAGAAUGAUAUAAUAAUUUUCUGAAUUGACAUCUGGAUGUUGAAAUUAGGAUGGUGCAAAAGGGGUCCAGGGCCUCAGGCUGGGCGCAGCAGCCAGCUCCCAAUGACGCAGAAGCUGCUUCAAAACCCCCUCAACAAAGAGGGGCACAUGCAAGUCACCAAAGUGGGAAGCCUUCACCAAGGCCACACCCAAAGUCUACUGAUUGUCUGUCCAAAGUUCGUUGAUUCCUGGCCAUGAACAAGCACAAUAGAAAAAGACACAGGGUCCUAGUGGCUACAAGUCAAUGUGAAUUGGCACAUGGUCUAGCAGUUUUAAAAUCUGACAGUAGAGUAUGGCAAUGGGCAAGGGCCAAGAAGUCCUGAGAUGGGAGGUCAGCGCUCUAACUGGGCUCAGUGGAGGUCUGUGACCAGUGUCUGGACACUAGCUACAGGGGACCGGGCAGAGGAUUCUGGGCAGAAGGAAAAUGUCUAAAAGUACUUUGGGAGGGUAAAGGACAGGGGCCUUAUUUAAAAUAAAGACUGAAGGAUAAUAAGUGUC
rnacentral:lncRNA from 1 species